UACGAAGGUCCCGAGCGUUGUUCGGAUUUACUGGGCGUAAAGCGUCUGUAGGCGGCGCGGCAAGUCAGAUGUGAAAGCCCGGGGCUCAACCCCGGAAAUGCAUCCGAUACUGCCGUGCUGGAGGAUCGGAGGGGAGUCUGGAAUUCACGGUGUAGCAGUGAAAUGCGUAGAUAUCGUGAGGAACACUAGUGGCGAAGGCGAGACUCUGGACGAUUCCUGACGCUGAGAGACGAAGGCCAGGGUAGCGAAAAGG
rnacentral:rRNA from 1 species